rnacentral:rRNA from 1 species
GACGAACGCUGGCGGCGUGCCUAAUACAUGCCAGUCGAACGCAGUGGGGACGGGUGAGUAACACGUGGGUAACCUCCCAUCAGAGGGGAUAACACUUGGAAACAGGUGCUAAACCGAUCCUGAUGGAUGGACCCGCGGUGCAUUAGCUAGUUGGUGAGGUACCGGCUCACCAAGGCCACGAUGCAUAGCCGAGCUGGGAGGGUGAUCGGCAAAACGGGGACUGAGAAACGGCCCAGACUCCGAGGGGAGGCAGCAGUAGGGAAUGUGCGGCAAUGGACGAAAGUCUGACCGAGCAACGCAGCGGGAGUGAAGAAGGGUGUCGGAGCGUAAAACUCUUUUGUUAGAGAAGCGGUAUCUAACCAGAAAGCCACGGCUAACUACGUGCUAGCGACGCGGUAAUAC